UGUGAACUCGAAGAGUAGGGCGGGACACGUGGUAUCCUGUCUGAAUAUGGGGGGACCAUCCUCCAAGGCUAAAUACUCCUGACUGACCGAUAGUGAACCAGUACCGUGAGGGAAAGGCGAAAAGAACCCCGGCGAGGGGAGUGAAAAAGAACCUGAAACCGUGUACGUACAAGCAGUAGGAGCCCACUUGUUGGGUGACUGCGUACCUUUUGUAUAAUGGGUCAGCGACUUAUAUUCUGUAGCAAGGUUAACCGUAUAGGGGAGCCGCAGGGAAACCGAGUCUUAACUGGGCGUUAAGUUGCAGGGUAUAGACCCGAAACCCGGUGAUCUAGCCAUGGGCAGGUUGAAGGUUGGGUAACACUAACUGGAGGACCGAACCGACUAAUGUUGAAAAAUUAGCGGAUGACUUGUGGCUGGGGGUGAAAGGCCAAUCAAACCGGGAGAUAGCUGGUUCUCCCCGAAAGCUAUUUAGGUAGCGCCUCGUGAACUCAUCUUCGGGGGUAGAGCACUGUUUCGGCUAGGGGGUCAUCCCGACUUACCAACCCGAUGCAAACUACGAAUACCGAAGAAUGUUAUCACGGGAGACACACGGCGGGUGCUAACGUCCGUCGUGAAGAGGGAAACAACCCAGACCGCCAGCUAAGGUCCCAAAGUCAUGGUUAAGUGGGAAACGAUGUGGGAAGGCCCAGACAGCCAGGAUGUUGGCUUAGAAGCAGCCAUCAUUUAAAGAAAGCGUAAUAGCUCACUGGUCGAGUCGGCCUGCGCGGAAGAUGUAACGGGGCUAAACCAUGCACCGAAGCUGCGGCAGCGACACUAUGUGUUGUUGGGUAGGGGAGCGUUCUGUAAGCCGUUGAAGGUGGCCUGUGAGGGUUGCUGGAGGUAUCAGAAGUGCGAAUGCUGACAUAAGUAACGAUAAUGCGGGUGAAAAACCCGCACGCCGGAAGACCAAGGGUUCCUGUCCAACGUUAAUCGGGGCAGGGUGAGUCGACCCCUAAGGCGAGGCCGAAAGGCGUAGUCGAUGGGAAACAGGUUAAUAUUCCUGUACUCGGUGUUACUGCGAAGGGGGGACGGAGAAGGCUAUGUUGGCCGGGCGACGGUUGUCCCGGUUUAAGCAUGUAGGCGGAUGUUCCAGGUAAAUCCGGAACGUUAUUAACGCUGAGGUGUGAUGACGAGGCACUACGGUGCUGAAGUGACAAAUGCCCUGCUUCCAGGAAAAGCCUCUAAGCAUCAGGUAACAUCAAAUCGUACCCCAAACCGACACAGGUGGUCAGGUAGAGAAUACCAAGGCGCUUGAGAGAACUCGGGUGAAGGAACUAGGCAAAAUGGUGCCGUAACUUCGGGAGAAGGCACGCUGAUGGUAAGUGAAGUGACUUGCUCAUGGAGCUGAAAUCAGUCGAAGAUACCAGCUGGCUGCAACUGUUUAUUAAAAACACAGCACUGUGCAAACACGAAAGUGGACGUAUACGGUGUGACGCCUGCCCGGUGCCGGAAGGUUAAUUGAUGGGGUUAUCCGUAAGGAGAAGCUCUUGAUCGAAGCCCCGGUAAACGGCGGCCGUAACUAUAACGGUCCUAAGGUAGCGAAAUUCCUUGUCGGGUAAGUUCCGACCUGCACGAAUGGCGUAAUGAUGGCCAGGCUGUCUCCACCCGAGACUCAGUGAAAUUGAACUCGCUGUGAAGAUGCAGUGUACCCGCGGCAAGACGGAAAGACCCCGUGAACCUUUACUAUAGCUUGACACUGAACACUGGUCCUUGAUGUGUAGGAUAGGUGGGAGGCUUUGAAGUGUGGACGCCAGUCUGCAUGGAGCCAUCCUUGAAAUACCACCCUUUAAUGGCUGGUGUUCUAACGUGGGCCCGUAAUCCGGGUUGCGGACAGUGUCUGGUGGGUAGUUUGACUGGGGCGGUCUCCUCCUAAAGAGUAACGGAGGAGCACGAAGGUCAGCUAAUCCUGGUCGGACAUCAGGAGGUUAGUGCAAUGGCAUAAGCUGGCUUGACUGCGAGCGUGACGGCGCGAGCAGGUGCGAAAGCAGGUCAUAGUGAUCCGGUGGUUCUGAAUGGAAGGGCCAUCGCUCAACGGAUAAAAGGUACUCCGGGGAUAACAGGCUGAUACCGCCCAAGAGUUCAUAUCGACGGCGGUGUUUGGCACCUCGAUGUCGGCUCAUCACAUCCUGGGGCUGAAGUAGGUCCCAAGGGUAUGGCUGUUCGCCAUUUAAAGUGGUACGCGAGCUGGGUUUAGAACGUCGUGAGACAGUUCGGUCCCUAUCUGCCGUGGGCGCUGGAGAAUUGAGGGGGGCUGCUCCUAGUACGAGAGGACCGGAGUGGACGCAUCACUGGUGUUCGGGUUGUCAUGCCAAUGGCAUUGCCCGGUAGCUAAAUGCGGAAGAGAUAAGUGCUGAAAGCAUCUAAGCACGAAACUUGCCCCGAGAUGAGUUCUCCCUGACUCCUUGAGAGUCCUGAAGGAACGUUGAAGACGACGACGUUGAUAGGCCGGGUGUGUAAGCGCAGCGAUGCGUUGAGCUAACCGGUACUAAUGAACCGUGAGGCUUAACCUU
rnacentral:rRNA from 1 species